rnacentral:RNase_P_RNA from 1 species
AUAGCAGGCCGUUCUAUCGCUGUCCCUUACGGGAAAGAGGAAAGUCCGGGCAACACAGGACAUCGUGCUUCUUAACGGGAAGAUGUUCGUGAGGGCAUAGUAACGUAACAGAAAACAACCGUUCCUUUGGAACAAGGGUGAAAAGGCGGGGUAAGAGCCCACCGGUGUCGCGGGCAAUCGCGACAGCCGUACGUCUCACGAGUUGCAAGGCCAUGUAUACCGGCGAAUAUGGUUGGUCCGACCAUUGCCGGGGGGUAGGCUGCUAGAGCUGUAAAGUGAUUUGCAGCGUAGAUAAAUGAUAGAAACCGAAAGGUACAGAACCCGGCUUACAGGCCUGCUAUUUUU